ensembl:lncRNA
CUGGAGAUCAAAAUAACAGCCACAAAUUUCUGGUCCUGUGAACCUGACCUUUAGACCAGUACUGUAUUUCUGACCCAGACCUGCCCAGAAAAAUAAGGUUAUACUUUCUGCCUGGUCUUUCAGAAUAAUAAUUAACAGUAGUGCUCUGAUCUCUUUGAACUAUUUUAAUGAGGAAAUGCCAAAGUAGGUGUGAACUAUGGAAUCUCUGAAUGGGAGCACCUGGCAAAGGUCACCUUUAAAUUGAAGCACAAACCUAUUCCUUUGGGUUAAGUUGGUGCUUUGGUCUUACUGCAGAAGUUGGCACACCUGGGCUGCUGGCCGUGUUACCCAGGACUCACCUCCUUGCGAUUCUUCCUGGUGAGGCUCUGCCAUGCUUGAACCAGGGCAUCCUUUCUCUUGAAAGCUAAUCCUUGACAGCAACAAAUUGGAAGUUCCUGGGCUUGCAAAUAAAUGUGGGUAUUUUCAUCAGACCUUCAUAUUUUCUUCAGUAACUGUGAAAUCAAAAGCACUUCUAAAAAUCCAUCGAGAACACUUUGGAGUCGUGGGGAAUAUCCAGAGUGAUCUGCUUUGGAGGCCUCUGCUGCAGUAUUAGAUGACCACAGAGGACGCUGCUUUCAAAAGCAACACAGCUGAGCCUCCUGCCAGAGCUCUGCUCUGUAGCACUCACAUUUAGUGCUGGACAAACCAACCUAUGAUGUGUUUCCCAUGGUGCUGUGCAACCCCUCUGAGCUCCAGCAAGGAGGAUUUAAAAAGAAAUAGAGCAAAAGACAAGGACAGAUUUAAUGAGGGUUUUUGCUGUGCAAAGUCUAUGGCAUGAGGGCCAAAAUAAUGGGGAAGGAAUAGGUUGGUUUGCACAAGGCAGGCACUGUGCUGCUGCACCACUUCACCCUGCUAAUGCUGUACAAUGGGAUUCUGCUGAAACUCGGAUGUUGGCGAGCUCUGCUCUGGCUUCCUGCACAAAGACAAAUGUUGUGCUACUCUCAAGUAUGCCUGGAAUGUAAUUCUGCUGCCCUGCCAUUCAUUUGUGGUGCCUUUUCACAUUUGUGCUAAUGAGAGUUCUUUUCCAGAACUCCAGAAACACUUGGGUGAUGUUCGCACUGUGAAAUAAACAUUUAUUUGUGGUUUGGAAAGUUUUCCACUGCUUGGUGCUUUUUGCUUUUCAGAGCAAAAUUUUUCAGUGAAUGGGGCUGUGAUCCAGUUCUGACUGCAGAAAGUAAACAGUUUCUCUGCUGUGAAGAUCAGGAGGCACUGGGAACUUCUCAGGAAGCUUCUUUUCCCAAGAGAUCCUCAUUGGUGUUCACAUCACAGCCUCUUCCCAAGGAUGAGGUUCCCCAUCCCUCCCUCAGGUACAGAGCUCGCUGCAUCCUGCCCUCAGCUCCCCAUCAGCCCCGGGCUGAGCACUGGUGACCCUUGUGGCUGUGGUGCUCUUUGCUUACUGUCAUCAAGGUUGGGAAAGACCUCGAGGAUCUCCAAGUCCAAGCAUCAAUCCUAAGCGUUCCUCUUCUCCAUUUCUGAGCCCAGGACUCUCUGGCACCUCAGCCCAGCAGAGCGGAAGCAGCAAUGAUCUGAGAAAAAUAAAGUAUAUUUUGCAGUCAGAGCUUAGGGAGGAAAAGAGAAAUCAGAUGAGGCUUCCUGGAGCUCCACAAUCUCUUGAAAAUAAAUGAACAGAUUGCCAUGAAUGAAUAAACUGCUUCAGACGCUAAUUCACAUUCAGGAGGCCGCGGAGCUGAGGGUACCAGUGAAGAUGACAGAAACAUUUCCCUCUGAUUGUUCCUGCAUCGCGCCGUCUCAUUGCUGAAGGUAGCAAACAGAAGAUAGCCGUGCUCUGCACACAAACCGCUCGGCACAGAUGGCUCCGGGUGCGUCUGUCGGCUGCGAGCUCAGUGCACAUUGCUGCCCAUGGAAACUGCAGCACUGCCUCAGGAGAGGAAAAGUGGGGAAAUUCAGUCAGUAGCAACCAAAGGGCAAUGAAUCUCAUGGCCUGCAGGUGAGUGCUCAGGCACCGCGCGUGCCAUGGUGGCAAUGGCAGAAGGGAUCGAUGCCCUGUGCCUGUCUCAGCAUGGGGCUGUGCAGUGGGGAUGCCUCAGCCCCAUUGAGCCCUGAGGGAGCAGAGGGGUCCCACUGCCUGUCCCCAGCUGGAUAAAUGUAGCACAGAAAGGUCAGGCUGUCACAGAAUCACAAAUUCAUUCAGGUUGGAGAAGGGCAGUUCUAAACUGUUCCUUAUUUGAUCUGAUGCAGCUCUGGAAAUUGGGUAGUUUGACAGAGCUGGGGUUUUUUAGAUAAGCCAUCUCUAUCAGCAUUUUCAAGUGGUGUUUUGGUAGAUUCCCUGAGACGUCAAAAUGGACAGACUGCAAAAAUCUGUGCAAAAGUAAAAACCUGCUAUGGAAAUCCUUGAGUUAAGCUGCGUUCAGCAGAGCAAUUUAUGAAUAUGCAAUUCAGGCUGUACCUACUGGGCAUGUAGGUUGCCAUUGCUUUUAGCUUUCAUGUGCGGACAGUCUCAUUCAGCAGAAUGACAUUUUGACAUCCAGAAAUGACUAGCUCUCACCACCUAACAACAGAUGAAGUCAAAUUUUGCUACAACUUAUACCUUUGCAGCAGCUAACGCUUCUAUUUGCUUAGAGAUGGUCAAGGAGAGAUGCUCAUUGAUGCAUUUAGUAGAGAAUGCUGAUCACACACCAGUUAAAGUUACCUGUGUGUAAUGGCUUCCAACACCACACAGCUGACAGUGAUGGGAGCUCAGGCACUGACACAGGAGGUGCUCGCCUUGCUGUCUGUAUAAAGCUGACCUUCCAGAGGAACCUUGGAGCUGCUGAGCCUUGUCUUGCAGGGAAUCAUCAAGCAGGUAGGCUGAGGGUAAAUAUGUGGCAGUGAGUGUGGAGAUGCUCAGGUGCCUGUUGUGCACAACCACAGCUUGAGGCUCAGUCAAGUUUGCCAAACUAUUGUACUGAGAUUUAUAAGACAAGCAAUUGUACUGUAACCAAAGCAGUGCUAUCAGUUACUGCCUGCAGAGAUGAAUAACGCGUGGCUGGUGGUCUGCAGCCUGUAGGGCUGCCUUGUCCCUGUCCUGAUGCCAGCAGCCUUGUGUUGCUGCCUAAAAAAAACCUGUCUUAUGGUAUGUGUUCUCCAGGUUUGUUACUACUUGUUCUUUUGGACUGGAUUUUGAUGUUUGCAUAUAAAACACAGGUUACUUAUUCCUGUGGCUUUUGCUGUGUUUUCCAGUGGCUGAAUGAUAGGCUUGCUUUGUUUUGACUGGGAGAUGUGUGGUUUCAUUUCCAGAUGGUAUGGUCCAGAGUGGGAACAGUGGGGCACUACAGAAUCUGUAGAGGUUUGGUACUGCAAAGUAGUUACAGUUUUGGUUUAGGCACAAGGCACGUAAAAGCCUGUAUGUAGCCCUGCAGGUACAGGAGGUGCCCACAUGUAGAGGGAUGGGUUGUGCUUCGGCCAUGUGGGUAAUGAGAGAGGAAUUCAGUCCCAGGGAAACUCUGAAAUGUAUUUGAGUUGGGCAAAAACAGUUCCUUCUCUCUUGACUGUGCAGCUUAGUUGUUCUAAUUUGGACCAGGUGGAAACUAUUUCUCUUCAGCUGAAAAGUCAUUGCAGCCAACAGUAGUGAAAGCUCUUCUGAGCAAGGACCAAGAACUGCUGUGAUCUAUCAUUCCUCUUGCCAUGAGCAAAAUAUGUGAUGCCACACUCUGAUUGUGAGAGUGAUCUGAUAGGGAUAGGCCUCCUGGAGCUGAGGACUCUGCUGAAAAGAACAUGGCAGAAAAAACAUCCCUCCACAAAUGGGGGCAAAGCAUUGCAUGGACACUCAGUGUUCCUUCAGGAGAAAAUAGGAGGAAAAUUCAGCAGGAGUGGCAUCACCUAAGAGGUUUCCUCCUUGCCUGUGGGAUGCUGAUCAUGUAUUAAAUACUGAGGGAGGUUUGGUGACUGCUUGGAUGCAGGUAACAGUGAAACAACGUGAGAAGUAGUUUGAGAGGAUCAACCUUCCUGUAGCUUUUAUUUUCAGCUUUUGGCAGUCAGUGGUAUGGGAGUUUCUUGGCCAUUGGAUUUAAUAGUCAUCAGUGGACCAAUCCUCCUCAAAUCUCCCUGAAUCACUUUUGAAGCCAGUAAUACCUUGGUGUUACCUGGUGCCGGUAAGUUGCAUACAUUUCAUUAUCUGCUAGCUGAAAAUGCCUCUAACUUGUGUUAAACUUCUUUGAAGAUCCUUCUGGUAUUCACUCUCCUUGAGAGUGGAAGGCUGUGUGUGUAACUGGCGUAUAGAGGUCGCUGAAGGCUGGGAGAGCAAAGAAAAAGCGCGGUCCCAAAGGAGGUGGUGGGUGGAAGUCUUCCCUUUUCCUUAAAUUGAGUGCAUGCAGAGCUUUCCAGCUCAACUCUGGAGGAUAUCCAAGAAGCACAGCAGCUAUUUUACUUAAACUGUUUUCUUGAACAGCUGCCUACUUGUGAGAGUCCCUCUGCAUUUAUUUUCUGUCUUGAUAUUCCUCUGGUAAUAGAAUAUAGUCAUUUAGACUUGAAUAGAAAAGGAAUUAAAAGCCUGGAGUAUACGCAGGUAUGGGUUUUCUUGGUACUUUUCUGUUGUUGCUGAGGGUAGUUGAAUUUAACUCCUAAUUACAUGGGAGAAUUUUGCAGACUAAGCAACGCUGAUGGUUUAAAGUAAAUUCCUAUCUGGCAAUUUGAAACAGUUCUGCAGCCUUGUUUAGGGGCACAGAAGAUCUUCAGUGUCUGAUAAAGACAGACAAGUUUUACUUGAAUUUCAGUGUGCUCUUUUGCAACCAAGGUGUUAAUAUUUCUAUGUACCUGACUAUCACAGUGAAUGUUGUGUAAGAGCAUUAAAUGUCACUUUCAUGCCUUUAUAAAAUAUCUGAG